CCUUUUCUUGGCGGAGACAGGGUGUGUGAUUCUGCUCCCGUUAUUUAUGAAAGCUGAUGGAAAGGGCUCUGGCCCUCUCAGUGUCAUGUCUUGGGUGCCGGGCGGCUUCCCGUCCACCGGUUCUAUACUCAGUGCAGAGAUCCUU
rnacentral:snoRNA from 1 species